rnacentral:rRNA from 1 species
UACGAAGGGGGCUAGCGUUGUUCGGAAUUACUGGGCGUAAAGCGUGCGCAGGCGGUGAUGUAAGACAGGUGUGAAAUCCCCGGGCUUAACCUGGGAACUGCAUUUGUGACUGCAUCGCUGGAGGUGCGGCAGAGGGGGAUGGAAUUCCGCGUGUAGCAGUGAAAUGCGUAGAUAUCGAGAGGAACACCAGUGGCGAAGGCGAGUCUCUGGACGACUCCUGACACUGAGGCACGAAAGCCAGGGGAGCAAACAGG